AACGCACAUUGCGCCCCUUGGUAUUCCAUGGGGCAUGCCUGUUCGAGCGUCAUUUGUACCUUCAAGCUAUGCUUGGUGUUGGGUGUUUGUCCUUGUUCCUUCGGGGUAGGACUCGCCUUAAAGUAAUUGGCAGCCAGUAUUUUGGUUUGAAGCGCAGCACAAGUCGCGAUUCAAGCUUGAGUAAUAGCGUCCAUCAAGUUAUUUUAUCACUUUUGACCUCGGAUCAGGUAGGGAUACCCGCUGAACUUAA
rnacentral:misc_RNA from 1 species